rnacentral:tRNA from 1 species
GGGGUUGUGGCUCAGCAGUAGAGCGCUUGCCUAGCAUGCAUGAGGCACAUGGGUUCGAUCCUCAGCACCA